UACGUAGGGGGCAAGCGUUGUCCGGAUUUAUUGGGCGUAAAGCGCGUGUAGGCGGCUAGACAGGUCCGCUGUGAAAACUCGAGGCUCAACCUCGAGAUGUCGGUGGAAACCGUGUGGCUAGAGUCCGGAAGAGGAGAGUGGAAUUCCUGGUGUAGCGGUGAAAUGCGCAGAUAUCAGGAAGAACACCAAUGGCGAAGGCAGCUCUCUGGGACGGUACUGACGCUGAGACGCGAAAGCGUGGGGAGCGAACAGG
rnacentral:rRNA from 1 species